rnacentral:lncRNA from 1 species
UAUAAGUUAUUAUAUAUAUAUUUUUCCUUUUUUUUUUUCACUAAUAACAGAAAUAAAUGCACAACUAGAGAAAGCAAAGACAGACUGUGAAAAACUUAAAACAGACAACGAAGAGAAAGAAAAAACUUUGCAAAAAUUAACGAUUGAUUUAGAUAAUAAAACUCAUUCCUACAAUUUAUUACAAAAAGAACAAAAUAUGAAUAACUUGAACACCGAAUUAAGCAAUGUAAAUCAAACAGAAGAAUUAAUCAGACUUCAAAAAGAAAAUGAAAAUUUGAGAAAUAGAAUAGAAUCUGAUACAAAUAAAGAAUCAAACAGGGUGAAAGAAGUUAGUCUAAUAACCUUAUUAUGCAUUCAAGUUGUAUACAAAUGCACACAUAUGUAUAUAUGUAUAGUACACCUAAGUUAGUGGAAAAAUUUAUUUUACACUUUUUCUACGUCACCGCAUUUUACCUUUUUUUUUGUUUUAGCUUGAAAAAGAACUCGAGGAUUUGAAAAUAAUAAAUAUCAAUUUAAAGAAUGGAGUAUUAAAAGA